rnacentral:tRNA from 1 species
UGGGGUAUAGCCAAGCGGUAAGGCAACAGGUUUUGAUCCUGUCAUGCUUAGGUUCGAAUCCUUCUACCCCAGCCA